rnacentral:rRNA from 1 species
AAUACAUGCAAGUCGAACGCUUUGUCUUUAAUUGAUCUGACGAGCUUGCUCUGAUUUGAUUUUAUCUGACAAAGAGUGGCGAACGGGUGAGUAACACGUGGGUAACCUACCUCUUAGCAGGGGAUAACAUUUGGAAACAAGUGCUAAUACCGUAUAAUACCAACAACCGCAUGGUUGUUGGUUGAAAGAUGGUUCUGCUAUCACUAAGAGAUGGACCCGCGGUGCAUUAGCUAGUUGGUAAGGUAACGGCUUACCAAGGCAAUGAUGCAUAGCCGAGUUGAGAGACUGAUCGGCCACAAUGGGACUGAGACACGGCCCAUACUCCUACGGGAGGCAGCAGUAGGGAAUCUUCCACAAUGGGCGCAAGCCUGAUGGAGCAACGCCGCGUGUGUGAUGAAGGGUUUCGGCUCGUAAAACACUGUUAUAAGAGAAGAACGGCACUGAGAGUAACUGUUCAGUGUGUGACGGUAUCUUACCAGAAAGGAACGGCUAAAUACGUGCCAGCAGCCGCGGUAAUACGUAUGUUCCAAGCGUUAUCCGGAUUUAUUGGGCGUAAAGCGAGCGCAGACGGUUAUUUAAGUCUGAAGUGAAAGCCCUCAGCUCAACUGAGGAAUGGCUUUGGAAACUGGAUGACUUGAGUGCAGUAGAGGAAAGUGGAACUCCAUGUGUAGCGGUGAAAUGCGUAGAUAUAUGGAAGAACACCAGUGGCGAAGGCGGCUUUCUGGACUGUAACUGACGUUGAGGCU